GACGAACGCUGGCGGCGUGCUUAACACAUGCAAGUCGAACGGAAAGGCCUGCUUUCCCUUGUGGAUUGCGGGUACUCGAGUGGCGAACGGGUGAGUAACACGUGAGUGAUCUGCCCCCAACUUGGGUAUAAGCCUGGGAAACUGGGUCUAAUUCCCGAUAGGACUGCAGGGUGGUGCCUGUGGUGGAAAACGAUUUUCUAGUGGUUGGGGAUGAGCUCGCGGCCUAUCAGCUUGUUGGUGGGGUAAUGGCCUACCAAGGCGGCGACGGGUAGCCGGCCUGGGAGGGGCGACGGCGACAGUGGGACUGGGAUACGGCCCAGACGCCUACGGGAGGCAGCAGUGGGGAAUAUUGCACAAUGGGCGGAAGCCUGAUGCAGCGACGCCGCGUGGGGGAUGACGGCCUUCGGGUUGUAAGCUCCUUGCGACCGCGAGGAAGCCACCUGGUUGGAAGGGUGGUGACGGUAGUGGUAGAAGAAGCACCGGCUAACUACGUG
rnacentral:rRNA from 1 species